UGGGGAAUAUUGGACAAUGGGCGCAAGCCUGAUCCAGCCAUGCCGCGUGUGUGAAGAAGGCCUUAUGGUUGUAAAGCACUUUAAGCGAGGAGGAGGCUACUUUAGUUAAUACCUAGAGAUAGUGGACGUUACUCGCAGAAUAAGCACCGGCUAACUCUGUGCCAGCAGCCGCGGUAAUACAGAGGGUGCAAGCGUUAAUCGGAAUUACUGGGCGUAAAGCGCGCGUAGGUGGUUCGUUAAGUUGAAUGUGAAAGCCCCGGGCUCAACCUGGGAACUGCAUCCAAAACUGGCGAGCUAGAGUAGGGCAGAGGGUGGUGGAAUUUCCUGUGUAGCGGUGAAAUGCGUAGAUAUAGGAAGGAACACCAGUGGCGAAGGCGACCACCUGGGCUCAUACUGACACUGAGGUGCGAAAGCGUGGGGAGCAAACAGG
rnacentral:rRNA from 1 species